UGAGGAAUCUUGGACAAUGGGCGCAAGCCUGAUCCAGCCAUGCCGCGUGCAGGAAGAAGCAUCUAUGGUGUGUAAACUGCUUUUGUACGGGAAGAAACACUCCUACGUGUAGGAGCUUGACGGUACCGUAAGAAUAAGGAUCGGCUAACUCCGUGCCAGCAGCCGCGGUAAUACGGAGGAUCCAAGCGUUAUCCGGAAUCAUUGGGUUUAAAGGGUCCGUAGGCGGUUUAGUAAGUCAGUGGUGAAAGCCCAUCGCUCAACGAUGGAACGGCCAUUGAUACUGCUAGACUUGAAUUAUUAGGAAGUAACUAGAAUAUGUAGUGUAGCGGUGAAAUGCUUAGAUAUUACAUGGAAUACCACUUGCGUAGGCAGGUUACUACUAAUGGAUUGACGCUGAGUGACGAAAGCGUGGGGAGCUAGCA
rnacentral:rRNA from 1 species